CCUACGGGAGGCAGCAGUAGGGAAUCUUCGGCAAUGGGCGAAAGCCUGACCGAGCAACGCCGCGUGAAUGAAGAAGGCCUUCGGGUUGUAAAAUUCUGUUAUAAGGGAAGAAAGGUGAUAGGAGGAAAUGACUAUCAAUUGACGGUACCUUAUGAGAAAGCCACGGCUAACUACGUGCCAGCAGCCGCGGUAAUACGUAGGUGGCAAGCGUUAUCCGGAAUUAUUGGGCGUAAAGAGCGCGCAGGUGGUUAAUUAAGUCUGAUGUGAAAGCCCACGGCUUAACCUGUAGAAAGCAUAUAAAACUGUUUAACUAGAGUGCAGGAGAGGUAAGUGGAAUUCCUAGUGUAGCGGUGAAAUGCGUAGAGAUUAGGAAGAACACCAGUGGCGAAGGCGACUUACUGGACUGUAACUGACGCUGAGGCAUGAGAGCAUGGGGAGCAAACAGGAUUAGAUACCCGUGUAGUC
rnacentral:rRNA from 1 species